AAAUUCCCAUAAACUUAGAAAAACAAAUGGUGUUUUCUGAAUGGCAACAUAGUGAAUCCGCGACAGGACAUGAGGUCUCAUUUCACCCAACCAUGUUCAUAUAAAAAGAAAUAUCCUGAGCCAAGAAAGUGAAUGUGCUGUUUUGCUCAUUCAAAUGUUCUUCCUAGUCAAGUCCAAAUGGUUUAUCUCAGAGGAGUGGAUCUGAGAACACAAGGCUGGUUUGCACUGCUAUAUUAUGAUCGAUUGGUAUAAGGUGAAUUUACUUUGUGUUCUCAGGUCACCCCUUUGAGCCAACCUGUUGACAUAUACCAAAACAUGAAUAUAUCCUUCUCAUCUUUUUUAUCACCACAUCUUGUUAUAAUGUUUUCAGAUUUCAGGAAAUGUUGCAGGCUGGAUUUGUGGAUAGUAUAGAAAUCAAUGCUGUUAUUUUUACACUUCAUUUUCUAUAUUUUUAAUUUCCUCUACACCUCUCUUUUAUUGGAGAAAAAAGAGAAUAGAAAAAAAAAAGUGGAUUUCUCUACUUUUCAAUCAAAGGGAGUUGUAGGGGAAAAGUUUAGAAAAUGGCGUGUAAGAAUAACAUCAUUGUGUAAAUAUAAGUGGAUGCAGUAAUUUGCAGUUUCAAGUUGAAGAGAAAAUGACAACUAGUGCUUAUAACUUUUUUUUAUCAGUAAAUGUUAGUGUGUUAGUUUUUGUUAGAAAGGUCACUUGAGCCUACAACCUCUCUCCCCUCCCUUCUCCCUUCACCUUUUCCAAGCACUGAGCCAAUCUUAUAUCUCCACUAGUGCUUAUAACUUAUUAGCAUCAGUUUUAGGAAUACAAAAGAGGAAGAUUCUGUAGUGCGAGACACAAGACAUAGCCUUCCUUUUUCUCACUUUUUUUUAAGUUGAUGACAAUAUAAUAGAGUUUAACUAUGCUAUAACUUGGGAAGUUCUUUUUUUCUUUUUUUAUACAGGAAAAUCAAGGAUCCUUGAAUGCUAAAGCAAAAAUGCAGUUACUAGCUACGAGUUUCCAACAAAGUACAUGUUUGAAGUUGCCCUUUUGCUCUUUGUAAAAGCAAAAUUGAGGAAGCUAGCAAUUAGAGUCUAUGGAUUCAGGGAUAUGUUGCAUUGCAAUUUAGGGGCAGAGGGAGUUCCGAUCCAAAGAGAACAAGAUCUGUGGGGGCAGCACAAGCCGAAUUGUCAUGAAGGGGUGCAUUGAAGUCUAUGGAUUGAACCUUAGGAACCCAAGAAGGAUUUAGGAACAAGAGUUUCUCUGUGUGUGCGGCAUUUCGUUCAAAAUGCCAUUUUGCAAAGUGUGGAUUGGAUAUGAGAGAAAGUCAUGACUUGCACACGAAUUUGAAACUUGGAAGAGACUUCACUGGCAAUCUUAAUAGAAUUUCGAUUAUUAUUUCCUGUGGCAGAAACAGAAACACCAUCUUCUGCCUUCUCGUUUCUCCUAUGCUGCUGCCACUGUAAUUUAUGUUCAUUAGCUUAGCAGAUACCACAUCCAAUCUAUAUAUUAAUCCAGAUAUUCCGUUUUAAAUCUGUUUUAAAGUAUCUGUUUUUUUGUUUUU